AGCAGCCGCGGUAAUUCCAGCUCCAAUAGCGUAUAUUAAAGUUGUUGCAGUUAAAAAGCUCGUAGUUGAAUUUCGGGAUUGGCGCAUCGGUCGUGCCUCACGGGGUAUGAACUGGUGCAGUCAAUUUCUCACCUUCUGGAGAACCGCGAUGUCCUUAAUUGGAUGCCGCGGGGAACCAGGACCUUUACUUUGAAAAAUUAGAGUGUUUAAAGCAGGCAUUUUUGCUUGAAUACAUUAGCAUGGAAUAAUAAAAUAGGAGGGCAUGGUUCUAUUUUGUUGGUUUCUAGGACCACCGUAAUGAUUAAUAGGGAUAGUUGGGGGCAUUAGUAUUCAAUUGUCAGAGGUGAAAUUCUUGGAUUUAUUGAAGACUAACUACUGCGAAAGCAUUUGCCAAGGAUGUUUUCAUUAAUCAAGAACGAAAGUUAGGGGAUCGAAGACGAUCAGAUACCGUCGUAGUCUUAACCAUAAACUAUGCCGACUAGGAAUCAGACGAUGUUAAUUUUUAAUGUACUCGUUGGCA
rnacentral:rRNA from 1 species